CAACCCGCGCGAGGAGCGAGAUAGGCAACCCGGAGGAAGACCGGUGAACAUUAUACCAGUGAUUGCCAAAGCAGAUGCAAUUUCUGAAACUGAAUUACAGAAGUUUAAGAUCAAACUCCUGAGUGAAUUGGUCAGCAAUGGCAUCCAGAUAUACCAGGUCCCAACAGAUGAUGAAACUAUUGCUAAAAUUGAUGCUGUUAUGAAUGUGGGCUCCUAAUUGAAUAUUGAUUGCUUUACAUGUGAAAAACAUCAUUUGCAGUGGGGAACAAGAUGCAGUGCCACUUUGUGAAGCUGAGGGGGGCGUGCACAUGCCUGGAGGACCUGCAGGAACAGACGCUCUGGUGCCACUCCGGUUGACUGGCACCACAACUGGGCACCAGAGGCUUCGCCGAUGUGGGCCUGGAGAAGCAGCUGCUCAGGUGAGCGUCCCACGGCCAGUGAUGCAUGUCGGUGGGGUGGUGCCAUGAGGAAGGAGCAGCUGGUGGGCAUCUCUCCCCCAUGGCCUCCUUGCUAUUGGAUGUCUCUAAGUCCUCGUCUGACCCAAGGAGUGAAGUGGA